GGUGAACAAAAAGUCAGCUUAAAGCCAUAACAGCCUGAACAUGCCCAUUACCAUCUGAUCUCCAAAUCUAAGCAGUGCAGAGCCUGGUUAGCCCUUGGACAGGAGACCACCUGGAAAUACUGGGAAUCUUUCAUAUUAAAGAGCGACCUCAUUCUUUGAUACAGCUGCAUGGUAUUCCACAGAUUAUAGGCCAAGGAUUUGUCCAGCACUUGUAAAAAGAACAUGACUAUUGCUUGAGGUAAAAAGAAGACUCAGGUCUUUUGUUUGGUCCCUACAAACCGCCGCCCACGUGGGACAUGUCUAGGAAGGAGUCGUGGAACUUCACUGCUCUGUCUUGCCAAAGCCCAUGGAUGAUGUGCAGGCUUGCUAGGCAUGUAGAAGAUACUAUGAGUAUAGAAUUCAGAAUGCAACAUGACACUCUUUCUGGACAUGAAGGAAACAAAUCGAUCACUUGAGAUAUGGAAAAAUAUUCUCCUUUGGGGUGAUGUACACUGUCAUAGCUUUGUUUUAUAAACUGGAACAUGUGGCUCAUAGGAACUGAAAUUGAACAUUGAAGACAACUAUUCCAUCCAGUUAAAAGAGUGACUACAGGAGAGAUGAAAAUAGCAUUUAUGUGCCCAUUCAAAUACUUUUCCUAUGAUCCAAAUCAUGGGCGGCUAUUUAUUUGUAGGUUUAUACCUAAUGCUUGCAGCUCAAACUGUUUUAUCUUUCGAUAACAGGAGGUGGCCUUUAAAUUCAUUGAGAGCCUUUGCUACUUUCCUCCACAAGCUGUCUGUGCCUCUCGGCCAAUCAUAAAAGAAGCAACUAACAGAGGUAAAAGAAAAAAUCAAUAAAAAGAUAAAAGUUUUUCCUCAUGCCUGAUACCUGCAGCAAUUCCACUAUGUUUUACACUUCUGUUAUUUUCACUUUUAAAUACUUAGGCUUCUCAUGAUACUGUUUGCCAGCACCAUAAUUUAGUGUCCAGUAAAAACAAAAGAAAUUUUUGGAUUUCCUUGGAUCUCGGGGCAGAGGCUAUCAUGUUUUGUUUCUUGAAUUGGAUGCUGAGACAUGGGAUUGUGCAGUUUGUGGAAAGUCAUUUAGCUGUGUCCUCAUGAAACUAUGUCAUCUUCCAACACAGAGUUUUACGCACACAACACACUAUGAGAAAAGAACCUGUCAGCCUGCACAGAAAGGAAACAGUUGUAACUGCCAGGUGUGUACCAGUGGUGCCAUCUGUGUAAAGCAUCAGCAGCUCUCCUCCUCACAUUAGCUGGUUCCAUCAGGAGGUGGCAAGAUGAGAUGGCUAUGACUCUUUUUUUUUUUUUUUUUUUUUUUGUCUUUUUCAUUUUUAUUGGUGCCGGCGAUCGAACUCAUGACCACCUGCUUGCAAGGCAGGUGCUUAUGCCACUGAGCUAAAUCCCCAGCCCCAAGAUGGCUACGACUGUUAAAGAGGCAGACAGCCUGGGUUUGGGUCCUGGCGCUCAUUUACCAGCUGUGCAUUCAUCUGUAGAUUAUUCAGUUUCACUGUAUCUCUGUUUCCUCACCUGCAAGAUGGCAGUGCCUAUCAAGCACUGUAAAGCCAACAUCAGAAUGAAAGGGGCUCGUGUGAGUAAAGCCCUUGAAGCCACACUGGGCACAGGGCAGCACUGCUUUAGUGUAGGCUAUCCUAGGAGCAGGACUUUUUUUCAUGGGAGACCCCUUCAAUGACUGCAGCAUACAGACUUCCCUUCUGUCAUGUGCAGACUUAUUUUCUUUUGGGGAGAUCGAGGCUUAGAGGAGAGAAUGGAUAAACACUGACCCAUCAGUUCUUGUCAUAUGUGCGUACUAUUCCAUCUCAUGCCUCAUCUCCUGUCCUCAAGUAAAUUUUCUAAUGUGUCUCAUGCAUAUUUGAUUCCUUUUAUGCACUCCAGUGAAACAGUGAAAUGGUACAUCUGUGUUUUAAACUGAUAUUAAAAGUAAUAUACUACAGAACUGCCUUUUAAACACACUUCACAGAUGAAUUCAUUGUAGGCAGUAUCUGCAUUGUUGUGCAUCCCUGCCCUUCAGGCUUGUCUUAGUUACUUUUUUCACUGCUGAGACAAAAUAUCUGACACCCAAAAUUAAAGGAGGGAAAGUUUAUCUGGAUUACACUUUGUUGAGGUUGCAGUCCAUAAUCAGUUUGCUCCAAAGCAGGGUGGUUUGGCAGAGGGCCGUCACAGAGAAGAAUGGUUCAUGUUGCUCACAAGAUAACAAAAGCAACAAGGGCACAAGAUGACUCUUUCUGUUCCUUAGACUGUAUGCAGGCUGUCCACCUUAGGGUGGGUAUAGCUCUCACACCCUUAAUCCUAGCCCUAUGACUACAUGUGUCUAGAUGUUUGGGAAAUAAACCAUAAUACUGUUGCUUCUAA